UGGGGAAUUUUGGACAAUGGGCGAAAGCCUGAUCCAGCAAUGCCGCGUGUGUGAAGAAGGCCUUCGGGUUGUAAAGCACUUUUGUCCGGAAAGAAAUCCUCUGGGUUAAUACCUCGGGGGGAUGACGGUACCGGAAGAAUAAGCACCGGCUAACUACGUGCCAGCAGCCGCGGUAAUACGUAGGGUGCAAGCGUUAAUCGGAAUUACUGGGCGUAAAGCGUGCGCAGGCGGUUUUGUAAGACGGAUGUGAAAUCCCCGGGCUUAACCUGGGAACUGCAUUCGUGACUGCAAGGCUAGAGUAUGGCAGAGGGGGGUUAGAAUUCCACGUGUAGCAGUGAAAUGCGUAGAGAUGUGGAGGAAUACCGAUGGCGAAGGCAGCCCCCUGGGCCAAUACUGACGCUCAUGCACGAAAGCGUGGGGAGCAAACAGGAUUAGAUACCCUGGUAGUCCACGCCCUAAACGAUGUCAACUAGUUGUUGGGGAUUCAUUUCCUUAGUAACGUAGCUAACGCGUGAAGUUGACCGCCUGGGGAGUACGGUCGCAAGAUUAAAA
rnacentral:rRNA from 1 species